GGGAGAUGGUGUUGGAUCAUUAUGUUCAAUGGGUUUGAUCAACCUGCAUAAUGAUUUUGGAUAUGAAAAGCUUUAGAAUUCAAACAAGGCAAUCAUUAUGCAGAUGAAAAGAUUGAUUUUAAUCAACCUGCAUAAUGAUUUUGGAUAUGAAAAGCUUUAGAAUUCAAACAAGGCAAUCAUUAUGCAGAUGAAAAGAUUGAUUUUAUUUUAUUUUUUAGGGUUUUAUGUGAUCACCAAUUUCAUGCAAAA
rnacentral:lncRNA from 1 species